AGAGUUUGAUCAUGGCUCAGAUUGAACGCUGGCGGCACGCCUAACACAUGCAAGUCGAGCGGUAACAUGAUGUGUAGCAAUACACAUUGAUGACGAGCGGCGGACGGGUGAGUAAUACGUAGGAACCUGCCCUUAAGCGGGGGACAACCAAGGGAAACUUUGGCUAAUACCGCAUAAACUCGGAAGAGAAAAGCUGCCCGCGAGGGUGGCACUUAAGGAGGGGCCUGCGUCCGAUUAGUUAGUUGGUGAGGUAAAGGCUCACCAAGACGAUGAUCGGUAACUGGUCUGAGAGGACGACCAGUCACACUGGGACUGAGACACGGCCCAGACUCCUACGGGAGGCAGCAGUGGGGAAUCUUGGACAAUGGGGGCAACCCUGAUCCAGCGAUGCCGCGUGAGUGAAGAAGGCCUUCGGGUCGUAAAGCUCUUUAGGUUGGGAAGAAGUAUAUCCGAUGAAUAAUCGGGUAUGUUGACGGUACCGACAGAAUAAGCACCGGCAAACUCUGUGCCAGCAGCCGCGGUAAUACAGAGGGUGCGAGCGUUAAUCGGAUUUACUGGGCGUAAAGGGCGCGUAGGCGGUUAUGUAAGUAUGAUGUGAAAGCCCCGGGCUUAACCUGGGAAGAGCAUCGUAGACUAUGUGACUGGAGUAUAUGAGAGGGUGGUGGAAUUUCCGGUGUAGCGGUGAAAUGCGUAGAGAUCGGAAGGAACGUCAAUGGCGAAGGCAGCCACCUGGCAUAAUACUGACGCUGAGGCGCGAAAGCGUGGGGAGCGAACAGGAUUAGAUACCCUGGGUAGUCCACGCUGUAAACGAUGAGGACUAAAGGUUGGUAGGGGAACCUAUCAGUCUUGAAGCAAACGCGAUAAGUCUUCCGCCUGGGAAGUACGGCCGCAAGGUUGAAACUCAAUGAAUUGACGGGGGCCCGCACAAGCGGUGGAGCAUGUGGUUUAAUUCGAUGCAACGCGAAGAACCUUACCUACCCUUGACAUCCUGCGAAU
rnacentral:rRNA from 1 species